UUGAAGCCAGAGAAAAGAAAGCCAAGAUGACAGACUUUGAUCACUACAAGGUCAUGAAGGCAAAGAAAAUGAGGAACAGGAUCAUCAAGCAUGAAGUAAAGAAGCUCCAGAAGCAAACUUCCAAAAAAGCAUAAACUGGAAGAGCGUGGUGU